UACGGGGGGGGCAAGCGUUGUUCGGAAUUACUGGGCGUAAAGGGCUCGUAGGUGGCCAACUAAGUCAGACGUGAAAUCCCUCGGCUUAACCGGGGAACUGCGUCUGAUACUGGAUGGCUUGAGUUUGGGAGAGGGACGCGGAAUUCCAGGUGUAGCGGUGAAAUGCGUAGAUAUCUGGAGGAAUACCGGUGGCGAAGGCGGCAUCCUGGACCGGCAUUGACGCUGAGGAGCGAAAGCUAGGGGAGCGAAUGGG
rnacentral:rRNA from 1 species